rnacentral:rRNA from 1 species
UGCGUAGGCGGCGCGGAAAGUUGGGUGUGAAAUACCUCGGCUUAACCGAGGAACUGCGCCCAAAACUACCGUGCUUGAGGAAGAUAGAGGUGAGCGGAACUUAGGGUGGAGCGGUGAAAUGCGUUGAUAUCCUAAGGAACACCGGUGGCGAAAGCGGCUCACUGGAUCUUUUCUGACGCUGAGGCACGAAAGCUAGGGGAGCGAAG